rnacentral:tRNA from 1 species
GAAUUGGUGGUUCAGUGGUAGAAUUCUCAGUUUCCAUGUGGGAGAACUGGGUUUGAUUCUUGGCCAAUGUA